rnacentral:lncRNA from 1 species
GCCAGCUUCAUCAGUGAUUCUUAACAGGAUGGUAUGUGUGUAUAGGUAAAGAGGGUUGGUCUAGUUCACCUAUUGUUGAGUAACAAACUACCCUAGAGCUUAAUGACAUAACACAACCAUUUAUUUUGUUUAUGAUUUUGUGGGUCAGGCAUUUGGAAAGGGUAUAGCUAGGUAGUUUUGUUCCACAUGAUAUUGGCUGGGCCUGAAGGAUCCACUUCCCAGAUGGAUUCUCCACUCACACAUGGGAUCUCAUCCUUUGCAGCUGCUUCACAUGGCCUAGCUUUCUCAUACCAUGGUUGUCUCAAGAUAAUCACACUUCUUACAAGAGGUUAAGCAUCUGUUUUAUUCAAACCUGGGUAAGUCAGAAGCUUUAGGCAGCCUGUUUUGCAGGAAAUUUAGUGCUGGAAUGUCUUCCUACCUCACUCUCCCAAGAACCUGCUCCUGCAGAUGAAACCUCAGAACCCCUCCUUCUUGUCAAAAAGGGGCUGGUCUUCAGCCUUGAAGUCCAGGUUGGGGCUGCCAAACUCAUUGAGAAUUGUCUGAGCCCUGUAGCUGACAAUUGGGUGUUUGGCUUUGUACACACUGGUGAAGACAUCAUCCAUGGACUACAACUUCUUGGCUAUGAGACCUGUGGUGUGUCACAGGGACACAGCAUUCAUCCCAUUUGGAGGAAGCAGUGUUCAAGGCACCAUCCUGGAAGCAGAGACUGGGCCAUCACCAGGCACCAAACCAGCUGGCACCUUGGUCUUAGACUUCCCAACCCCCAGAACUUGCCUCUUCUUGCCCAUGGAAGGACAUGCAGCUUCUUACUCCUCUGCUGCCCAACACAGUUUACUGGCUGGCCACUCCAUGGCUAGGAUCCUUCACACUACCUGAGACCUGAUGUCUCUGGCUCCAAAGGACGCAGCUCUGCUCAUCCCCCAGUGAGGCCUGUCAUGAGUUGCUGUGGCUGUGGAAGCCUGCCAUCCUGGGAUGGAGACUUUUCCCACCACCCUGUCCCUUUAAUUUCAGCAGGCACAUCAUCCCGCCUCAUGUGGAUCCCCAGAGCAGCAGAUCUGGAAUCUCCUGUGAUGCUGAGGCCUUCAGGGACCACAGGAAACCCAUCUUAAUGAUGAAUCCUGGACUUUCUUUGCCCUUGGAACAGUCCUGGUUUCACACAUUUACCUCCAAAAGAGCACUUAACAGCUGCCACGUGGCUGCCCUGAGGUUUGGGCUGAAACAACAUGACCGUCAUACCUUCCCAGAGUCCUCCCAAGAAUGGUCUCUAGGUUCUCCUUCGCACAGUGGGGUACGAUGGGCUACUCUGCCCAAUCUGUGUACUCUCCUUGGGCUACUCUGCCCAAACUGUGAUUUGGGGCAUAUAGCUAUGCCUUCUCUGGUUCCUCUGUACCAAGGUCUCUCCAGUGGCUACCUCUUCUACUCAGCAGGACAGAGAAGCUCUCUUGGUUUUUAUUCUUAGGAUCCAGGUUCAGAAAACAAAUAAACAAACAAACAAACAAAAAACCUCAUGGUAGCUAAUCUGCCCCCUCCCUUCUCUAUGAAAUGGGCAGGCAGAGAAAAUCCCCCUGGCCCUGCCUAGCCCAUCCAUUCCUAAGGGACCUUCCCAUAGCCAGAUUGCAAGAGGAGAGCAAAUUUAAAUGAAAUAAAUAUGAAUUUCCUCCUAA